GAUGAACGCUGGCGGCGUGCCUAAUACAUGCAAGUCGAGCGAACGGACGAGAAGCUUGCUUCUCUGAUGUUAGCGGCGGACGGGUGAGUAACACGUGGAUAACCUACCUAUAAGACUGGGAUAACUUCGGGAAACCGUAGCUAAUACCGGAUAAUAUUUUGAACCGCAUGGUUCAAAAGUGAAAGACGGUCUUGCUGUCACUUAUAGAUGGAUCCGCGCUGCAUUAGCUAGUUGGUAAGGUAACGGCUUACCAAGGCAACGAUGCAUAGCCGACCCGAGAGGGUGAUCGGCCACACUGGAACUGAGACACGGUCCAGACUCCUACGGGAGGCAGCAGUAGGAAAUCUUCCGCAAUGGGCGAAAGCCUGACGGAGCAACGCCGCGUGAGUGAUGAAGGUCUUCGGAUCGUAAAACUCUGUUAUUAGGGAAGAACAUAUGUGUAAGUAACUGUGCACAUCUUGACGGUACCUAAUCAGAAAGCCACGGCUAACUACGUG
rnacentral:rRNA from 1 species